CAUUUCCCAAGUUGGCACAACCACUGCAUUACUCCUCUCAACACACACAUAAAGCCCAACCUUCAACGACGAAGGCUGGGCUCCCCGAGAGAACGGGACCAGGACAAAGGCGUCCUCGCUAGGCAACUAGCGGGACGCC
rnacentral:sRNA from 1 species